AUUGAACGCUAGCGGGAUGCUUUACACAUGCAAGUCGAACGAGUGGCGGACGGGUGAGUAAUAUAUCGGAACGUGCCCAGUAGCGGGGGAUAACUCCUCGAAAGAGUGGCUAAUACCGCAUACGAUUGGAGCGGCCGAUAUCGGAUUAGCUAGUUGGUGGGGUAAAGGCUCACCAAGGCAACGAUCCGUAGCUGGUUUGAGAGGACGACCAGACACACGGCGAUUGAGAAACGGCCCAGACUCCUACGGGAGGCAGCAGUGGGAAAUUUUGGACAAGGGGGGAAACCCUGAUCCAGCCAUCCCGCGUGUAUGAGAAGGCCUUCGGGUUGUAAAGUACUGUUGGCAGAGAAGCGGUAUCUGCAGAAUAAGCACCGGCUAACUACGUGCCAGCAGCCGCGGUAAUAC
rnacentral:rRNA from 1 species